AUGUAGUGAGGGCCAGCCGACUAGAGCAUACAAGUCGCAGUGGUGGGUGGUAUAAGGUGCUUUAGUGACAAAACGGAUGGCACUGUGAUAGACUGCAUCCAGUUUGCUGAGUAGAGUGUUGGAAGCCAUUUUGUAGAUGACAUCGCCGAAGUCGAGGAUCGGUAGGAUAGUCAGUUUUACUAGGGUAAGCUUGGCAGCGUGAGUGAAGGAGGCUUUGUUGCGGAAUAGAAAGCCGACUCUGGAUUUGAUUUUUGAUUGGAGAUGUUUGAUGUGAGUCUGGAAGGAGAGUUUGCAGUCUAGCCAGACACCUAGGUACUUAUAGAUGUCCACAUAUUCAAGGUUGGAACCAUCCAGGGUGGUGAUGCUAGUCGGGCAUGCGGGUGCAGGCAGCGAUCGGUUGAAAAGCAUGCAUUUGGUUUUACUCGCGUUUAAGAGCAGUUGGAGGCCACGGAAGGAGUGCUGUAUGGCAUUGAAGCUCGUUUGGAGGUUUGAUAGCACAGUGUCCAAUGACGGGCCGAAAGUAUAUAGAAUGGCAUGAGGUCUGAGGUCCUCCCUAUAGCUCCCCUACCAAGCCUGAGGUCUGAGGUCCUCCCUAUAGCUCCUCUACCAAGCCUGAGGUCCUCCCUAUAGCUCCUCUACCAAGCCUGAGGUCUGAGGUCCUCCCUAUAACUCCCCUACCAAGCCUGAGGUCUGAGGUCCUCCCUACAGCUCCCCUACCAAGCCUGAGGUCCGCCCUAUAGCUCCUCUACCAAGCCUGAGGUCUGAGGUCCACCCUAUAGCUCCCCUACCAAGCCUGAGGUCUGAGGUCCUCCCUAUAGCUCCCCUACCAAGCCUGAGGUCUGAGGUCCUCCCUAUAGCUCCUCUACCAAGCCUGAGGUCUGAGGCCCUCCCUAUAGCUCCCCUACCACGCCUGAGGUCUGAGGUCCACCCUAUAGCUCCCCUACCAAGCCUGAGGUCCUCCCUAUAGCUCCUCUACCAAGCCUGAGGUCCUCCCUAUAGCUCCUCUACCAAGCCUGAGGUCUGAGGUCCUCCCUAUAGCUCCUCUACCAAGCCUGAG